rnacentral:rRNA from 1 species
GGACUACCCGGGUAUCUAAUCCUGUUUGCUCCCCACGCUUUCGCGUCUCAGCGUCAGUAACGUCCCAGCGAGCUGCCUUCGCAAUUGGUGUUCCUCCUGAUAUCUGCGCAUUUCACCGCUACACCAGGAAUUCCACUCGCCUCUUCCGUACUCUAGCUCGACAGUAUCUACCGGCUUUCAAGGGUUGAGCCCUUGACUUUUACAGCAGACUUAUCGAACCGCCUACACGCUCUUUACGCCCAAUAAUUCCGGACAACGCUUGCCCCCUACGUAUUACCGCGGCUGCUGGCAC